rnacentral:rRNA from 1 species
AGAACGAACGCUGGCGGCAGGCCUCAAACAUGCAAGUCUAGGGGGGUGUAGCAAUACAUCACCGGCGGACGGGUGCGUAACACGUGGGAAUAUACCUUUUGGUUCGGAACAACGCAGGGAAACUUGCGCUAAUACCGAAUGUGCCCUUACGGGGAAAGAUUUAUCGCCAAAGGAUUAGCCCGCGUAGGAUUAGCUAGUUGGUGAGGUAAUGGCUCACCAAGGCUCCGAUCCUUAGCUGUUCUGAGAGGAAGAUCAGCCACACUGGGACUGAGACACGGCCCAGACUCCUACGGGAGGCAGCAGUUGGGAAUCUUGGACAAUGGGGGAAACCCUGAUCCAGGCCAUGCCGCGUGAGUGAUGAAGGCCGUUCGGGUUAGUUAAACGUCUUUCGACGGGACGAGUAAGUGAACGGUACCCGUAAGAAGAAGCUCCGCUAACUCGACGCCAGCAGCCGC